rnacentral:piRNA from 1 species
UCUAAAACAAGGUGACUGCACAUGCA